CCAACGGCUCUUUUAAGAGCCACCCACCGUUUCCCCAAAGGAGCUG
rfam:Callipepla squamata strain Texas jcf7180005230543, whole genome shotgun sequence.